UACGUAGGUGGCAAGCGUUAUCCGGAAUUAUUGGGCGUAAAGCGCGCGCAGGUGGUUUCUUAAGUCUGAUGUGAAAGCCCACGGCUCAACCGUGGAGGGUCAUUGGAAACUGGAGGACUUGAGUACAGAAGAGGAAAGCGGAAUUCCACGUGUAGCGGUGAAAUGCGUAGAGAUGUGGAGGAACACCAGUGGCGAAGGCGGCUUUCUGGUCUGUAACUGACGCUGAGGCGCGAAAGCGUGGGGAGCAAACAGG
rnacentral:rRNA from 1 species